rnacentral:rRNA from 1 species
UAGGGAAUCUUCGGCAAUGGGGGCAACCCUGACCGAGCAACGCCGCGUGAGUGAAGAAGGUUUUCGGAUCGUAAAGCUCUGUUGUAAGAGAAGAACGUGUGUGAGAGUGGAAAGUUCACACAGUGACGGUAACUUACCAGAAAAGGGACGGCUAACUACGUGCCAU